rnacentral:tRNA from 1 species
GCCCCGGUAGCUCAGCAGGAUAGAGCGGCGGUUUCCUAAACCGCAGGCCACCAGUUCGAGUCUGGUCCGGGGUA